UCCACCUUUUGUGAGUGUGUGUUCAUACACUCUGUGUGGGAAGAUUAACAGGCGAGUCCAAAGGCUGAUAUGACACUAUCCUUAAUGCACUGUUGGCCUCAAAUCGGACAAUCCCGGGAUAGCAGGGGAUCAAACUGCCUCCAUGCAUCUCUCCCCCCCCUUCCCAAUGUUAGCUAGACGCAUCUCCACCCAAUAGCAGCAGCAGCUAGAACAGGAGAGAACAUCUUCCAGAUCGCAUUCUCGUUCUCCAGAAUAUCUCACUCAAUGCUGACUCGCUCACGGUGAUGGGAUGAACUCAGGAGUGAUAUUACAUUUGUCUGUGAACGUGUCGUUUUAUUUCUGUUGGGGGCAAAAAAACAGCCAGAACCAUAAUCAAAUGAUUGCAAUGCAGAAGAGGUGUCAGUAAGUGGUAUCCUGGCCCACACGUGACUGAGCGGCACUGCCUCUGGGAGUUGGGAAACAGAUGGGUGCCAGAUGGGAUCGGAAUCCAUGAAGGGCUCCAGCGAAGAUGAGGACGUUGAUCCGAGACUCUGGCUACAAAUUCUAAUCCAACGUUAUCCCAGAAACUUGCAGCAUCUUAUUGGUCAGAACCCUCAGCUUGCUGUGGAUCUGAAGGCGCUGAUACCAGAGUGACAGCCGCGAGUCGACAUCUCUCCAUGUGGGAACAAAUCCAGGAGAUACAGCUCAUGGCUUUAACAUCCCUUUGGUUUGCAGUGGUUUCUAUGGCGAUGCAGUUACCUUCAGCUAAUGCUACGUUACUGGUGGUGUCCAAUAUUCUGCUGAACAGUGAAAAUAUGUGAAGUAGUAAAUAAUAUACAUACUGAGUGUGCUGAUGGACAGUAUCAUCUUGGACAGAAUACGGAGAUUGGUCAUCUCACACCCCUCCUCCAAUCAGGAUUAAAGGGACCGAUUGAUUGACCAGCAUCAAUGCAGCUUCGUGAUUGGCUAGUAGCGGGCCUUUACUUUAACAGCACCUCCCACGGGCAAAGCCUGCCUCAUUUUAAACAUUUCCAGCUGUUGGGACAACUCGCAGAUCCAGACUCGCCCUCGUAUUGGAGGUGUGCCCUGAGAGGAGGCUGAUCCGGACUGUAAUGGAGGGGCUGGUGGUGAGGGAACUGAUGGAAGAGGCCCAGUGGUAUAGAACGCAUAGGAUUAGAGAGGCUGAAGGGCUGCUGGUGCACAGGGAGAUCCUGAGGUGGGAAAAGGGCUUUGUUAAGACUGAAGACCCAGAGCUAGACAGUCCCUUGACUGUCCCAGGCUCGGCCAUCCAGCGUGGAGGUGAACAUGCCCUGCUAGGAGGUACCUCCAGCUUCAUGACAAUAACCCCCUCCAAUACCCAGCCAAUAAUGCCCUAAAUUACCUGCCCAAUAACCCCCUCCAAUACCCACUUCCUAUACCCACCCAAUAGCCCCCUUCAAUAUCCACCCAAUAACCCCUUCUAAUACCUCACCAAUAACCCCUUCCAAUACUUCACCAAUAAUCCCCUCCAAUACCCACCCAAUAACCUCUUGCUAUUCCUCACCAAGAACCCCUUCCAAUACCCAGCCAAUUAACCCCCACCACCACCACCACCAUUCCCAACUUAAAGGGGUGGCUUUGCUGCAGACAGCUAACCAGCCUCCUGUAUACUUUGGCUUCCUCUUGGCCAUGGAGAGCCAAUCAUUGACUGAGGAGAGCUCACUGCCCAAUCGCCCCAUUCCCAUACGCCUCCUGAAACCACCUACAUCCUCCUUUCCCUUCCCCAAACAUGAUGGAGCACCCAUUAUCCUGUGCUCCGCUCCAUCCUGAGCGCUGUGUGUGUGUGUGUGUGUGCCACCCUAAAGCACUGCAAUGUCCCUUCAGGGGCAGACAAACUCAGGUGGGGACAUACCUCUGGGUUUUCAAUCCCCACCCUGUGGAUCAGGUCAUCAGCAUGGGGGGGACAGUAUUUUCAGGGCCUAUGGGGGGGGGGGGAAGGUCACAAUGUCUGAUUAUAGACACCAGAUGGGGUCUCAGAGCUGGAGGGCCUGGCUGAGGCCUCUCAACCUGAAAAGAGCAGUAGGAGGCAGUAGAGGGCAAGUAAGUGCGAGGGGCCCUCCAACAUGGAGGCAUCAUCUCCAGCUAAAUGAGUAAAUGGGACUGGCAGCUGGGCCGACACUUUGAGUUGGGGGGCAGAGGGAUUGGGAGUUUGUUUACCCCCUUCAUUAUGACUGUGGCAGUUGCCCCUGGCACCUCAGAACUGCUGGGCAAACAGAAACCCUAAUCCGUCUCCUUGAACUUGCACCCCCAUUCCCCCCCCUCCCCAAACCAACCCGGAGGCUACAAAUGAAUUUCCAACUCGCUGCCAUCCUGCAGCCUCCCCACCCUCCUCCCUUUGGCUUUCCCUGGGUUACAAUUCCAAUGGAAGCUGGGAGCCACCUUCUUCUUCCUCCCCAUUGGCCAACUCCCGUCUUACUCAAUAGAUCAUGCACGGGCACUGUGGAUUCAAGGCUGAGAUCCACCCAUACCUAGAGUUUAUGGAUAAUCAGGAUAAAACUCUGGGAAACCUGUUUGUUUUUCCUUGUGGGGGAGGGGGGGUGGCGGGGGAGCAGUGUGGGAGUGUUCUCCAGUCUUCAGAAUUGCCUCGCAGUGUCAGUACAGGACUGAAUAACGCAGAAAAUUUACUUAAAGGGUGACAGCACGAAAGAAUCAACAAAGCAUUAGAAUCCAAUGCUUUUGUAGCCUGUGUUCUUCUACAUCUCAUCCAUGUGAAAGCUUUUCAACAGAGGGCAGUAUAACCACUCUAUGUAUCUUUUCCCUAAUCAAAGAUUCAAGCCUUUAUUUGAUUGCAUUAUGAUUACCGAGUUAAAUAUGGCUUUAAUGAAAAUUUGUUGUUUGGGAAAUGAUCUGUUAUUAUAACAAGCAAUUUGCCAGAUAUCAGUGUAUUUGAAAUCUGUAAAAUGUUAACACUGUCCCUCAUGGAAACUGCACAGUCUGUGUUUCUGUCAUUUCAGUAUU